GGGGGCGACCGGCUUCGACGGGACGAACCGAUGCUCAGGGAAGCAUACCGAGGUCUACUGCCUCGUUAAACAGGUAGGCAAACACAGUCGGCAACGACUACAACUACGCACUAGCCGCUUAAUAACCGGUUAGCGUCCUUCCUGCCCACUCCUGCGGGGCUUGCGGGACGACCACUAGCAGGAUGGCUUUUGGGGCUCGGUCCGAAGGACCUGAAAGCGAGACCGAAACGGGCUGGCGAAGCGAAACCCUGCCGAUAAGGUUUCGACGAGCGAGAUUUGAUUAUCGGCUAAGUAUGUAGAUGCCCGGGCUAGGCGCUUCCGGACGUGGGUUCGAUUCCCACCGCCUC
rnacentral:tmRNA from 1 species